rnacentral:rRNA from 1 species
AUGUCAAUGCCAAUUGAAUCAAUGUUAUUAGCUGUCAAUUUGAACUUUUUGGUAUUUUUUGUUUCUUUGGAUGAUAUGAUGGGUCAAUCAUUUGCUUCAUUAGUUCCAAUAGUGGCAGCUGCGGAAUCUGCUAUUCGUUUAGCCAUUUUCGUUAUUACUUUUCGAGUCAGAGGGACUAUUGCUGUCGUUAUUGCUUCUUCUCCUUCCUCGGGCUUGAUGAGGGGAGCCUUGCCCUUCUCUAUGGCCGAGAACCUCCGAAUCGGCGCCAUGACUACACCAGCAAGGAGUGGAGCGAGGAAGGAGAAGAAGCGGGAGAGGCAAAGAAGAGACGGGUGA